AUCUCCCGCUUGCGGGGGUGAUUAGUGGCGAACGGGUGAGUAAUACGUGAGUAACCUGCCCUUGACUCUGGGAUAAGCCUGGGAAACCGGGUCUAAUACUGGAUACGACUCUUCAUCGCAUGGUGGGGGGUGGAAAGGGUUUGACUGGUUUUGGAUGGGCUCACGGCCUAUCAGCUUGUUGGUGGGGUAAUGGCUCACCAAGGCGACGACGGGUAGCCGGCCUGAGAGGGUGACCGGCCACACUGGGACUGAGACACGGCCCAGACUCCUACGGGAGGCAGCAGUGGGGAAUAUUGCACAAUGGGCGGAAGCCUGAUGCAGCGACGCCGCGUGAGGGAUGACGGCCUUCGGGUUGUAAACCUCUUUCAGCAGGGAAGAAGCCACAAGUGACGGUACCUGCAGAAGAAGCGCCGGCUAACUACGUGCCAGCAGCCGCGGUAAUACGUAGGGCGCAAGCGUUGUCCGGAAUUAUUGGGCGUAAAGAGCUCGUAGGCGGUUUGUCGCGUCUGCUGUGAAAGCCCGGGGCUCAACCCCGGGUCUGCAGUGGGUACGGGCAGACUAGAGUGCAGUAGGGGAGACUGGAAUUCCUGGUGUAGCGGUGAAAUGCGCAGAUAUCAGGAGGAACACCGAUGGCGAAGGCAGGUCUCUGGGCUGUUACUGACGCUGAGGAGCGAAAGCAUGGGGAGCGAACAGGAUUAGAUACCCUGGUAGUCCAUGCCGUAAACGUUGGGCACUAGGUGUGGGGGACAUUCCACGUUCUCCGCGCCGUAGCUAACGCA
rnacentral:rRNA from 1 species